rnacentral:rRNA from 1 species
GAUGAACGCUGGCGGCGUGCCUAAUACAUGCAAGUCGAGCGAACAGACGAGGAGCUUGCUCCUCUGACGUUAGCGGCGGACGGGUGAGUAACACGUGGAUUACCUACCUAUAAGACUGGGAUAACUUCGGGAAACCGGAGCUAAUACCGGAUAAUAUAUUGAACCGCAUGGUUCAAUAGUGAAAGACGGUUUUGCUGCCACUUAUAGAUGGAUCCGCGCCGCAUUAGCUAGUUGGUAAGGUAACGGCUUACCAAGGCAACGAUGCGUAGCCGACCUGAGAGGGUGAUCGGCCACACUGGAACUGAGACACGGUCCAGACUCCUACGGGAGGCAGCAGUAGGGAAUCUUCCGCAAAGGGCGAAAGCCUGACGGAGCAACGCCGCGUGAGUGAUGAAGGUCUUCGGAUCGUAAAACUCUGUUAUUAGGGAAGAACAAAUGUGUAAGUAACUAUGCACGUCUUGACGGUACCUAAUCAGAAAGCCACGGCUAACUACGUG